UGUUACCACUCAGGACUUUAUCCUGUACCAAGGAUGGAGAGGCAGAACUGAAGAUGUCCUGGCUGGGUUCUGGUCCGGUUCUUACUGCUGAGUGACUCUAAUCACUUGCCAUCUGAGCCUCGGCUUCCCUGUCUGUGUAGGGAUGAGCAGAGCAGCCGGCCUGUUUCCUGUCAGGUCUGCGCUGCUGUGGUUGUGUGGAAGCAGCUUGUUAUCCUGUCAGAGGCUCUGCGACCCACAGGUUUUCAGGACUACAGGCAUGAGCGACCACACAUGGCUGUUUGGUGCUAUUUUGGAACAGCUGUUUUGGAAAGCAUGGCUUUGCUAAAAGUCUUCAUACACAGACACAUUUAUUAUUGGGAUAAAUGCUCAUGCAAUGGAUUGCUAAGAACUCACUUUGUAGACCAGACUGGCCUCAGUCUCAUAGAGAUCCAACUGAAUGCUGGGAUAAAAGGCAUGUGUCACCACGCCAAGCUCUAGUGACCUACUCUUGCCAGCCAGACCUCUUCAAGGACUCCACCACAACUUUCAAAUUCUAGCACCACAAUCUGGUUGCUGAGCACUCAAAACCUGAGCCUGUGAGGCAAACAGAAGAAGACUGGCUCCCAGGUGGUUAGAAGGAGUGUCUCAAAGCCCACCCCCACAGUGACAGACUUCCUCCAAGACCACACGUCAUAACUGUGUCUCUCCCUGGGACAUGUAUAUUCAACCACUACUCCCCAGCCUAGAGGCCUGUCCAAUCCAGGAGACCUCUGCUCCCCUCCAGCCAGUUUCACUUUCUAGGAGACCGAGGAAUUGAUGACUUAAGAAGUUUAGAGAUUGCUGAGCAGCAGUUCAAUUUCACACCUGGCUCCAUGGGUGCUCACGAAUGAAAAGGAAAAUGAUGGAUGCUGGCUCGGGCAGCAAAAAGGGAAAGGAUGCCUUUUCAGACCUGCCAGAGCUGGGUGUGUAUAGCCAAAGGUGUGAGGGAAAGCUAUUAUUUCUACCUUGUAUAAAAAACUCUUAAGUGUUCAAA